UUCUCUCUCUCUCUCCCUCGGCCGAAGCUGCAAGACAAAAAAAAAAGUCCUCCCGGCCAUUCUCCGCGACUGCUCUUUCGCUUUAUUAUUAUUAUGACGACUUUACUUUGUUUUGUUUUUUGCCACCGAGGAGUUAAAGCGGAAGGUUUACAAGGCUUCUGCAGCAUUGCAAAUCGAGGCUCAUCCUCAUCAUCGCGAGGAAGUCGGGACGGCAAGAACGUCAAUGCCUGAUGUUUCCCGGACGAAGAUGAGUCAUUUAAGUCAAUGGCCGACUUCACUAUGUCAAGUGAGCUGAGGGUUCAUUGAUCAGUUAAAUAAAAAAUAAAUGAAAUCCUAGAAAAUGUUCUGCACCAGAAAGAAAUUUAAAUUGCAUUUUAAAAUAUAAA